rnacentral:rRNA from 1 species
GACGAACGCUGGCGGCGUGCUUAACACAUGCAAGUCGAACGGAAAGGCCCCUUUGGGGGUACUCGAGUGGCGAACGGGUGAGUAACACGUGAGUAACCUGCCCUUGACUUCGGGAUAACUUCAGGAAACUGGGGCUAAUACCGGAUAGGAAUCCUUGCUGCAUGGUGGGGGUUGGAAAGCUUCGGCGGUUUUGGAUGGACUCGCGGCUUAUCAGCUUGUUGGUGGGGUAGUGGCUUACCAAGGCUUUGACGGGUAGCCGGCCUGAGAGGGCGACCGGCCACAUUGGGACUGAGAUACGGCCCAGACUCCUACGGGAGGCAGAAGUGGGGAAUAUUGCACAAUGGGCGGAAGCCUGAUGCAGCAACGCCGCGUGCGGGAUGACGGCCUUCGGGUUGUAAACCGCUUUCAGCAGGGGCGAAGCUUGUGGUGACGGUACCUGCAGAAGAAGCACCGGCUAACUACGUG